rnacentral:rRNA from 1 species
AUUGAACGCUGGCGGCAGGCCUAACACAUGCAAGUCGAACGGAGUGGCGGACGGGUGAGUAAUGUCUGGGAAAAUGCCUGAUGGAGGGGGAUAACUACUGGAAACGGGCGCUAAUACCGCAUACUAUCAGAUGAGCCUAGGUCGGCUUAGCUAGUUGGUGGGGUAAAGGACUACCAAGGCGACGAUCCGUAACUGGUCUGAGAGGAUGAUCAGGCACACUGGAACUGAGACACGGUCCAGACUCCGACGGUAGGCAGCAGUGGGGAAUAUUGGACAAUGGGCGAAAGCCUGAUCAAGCAAUGCCGCGUGUGUGAAGAAGGUCUUCGGAUUGUAAAGCACUUUAAGUUGGGAGGCGUUACCAACAGAAUAAGCACCGGCUAACUUCGUGCCAGCAGCCGCGGUAAUAC